GACGAACGCUGGCGGCGUGCUUAACACAUGCAAGUCGAACGGAAAGGCCCUGCUUGCUGGGUACUCGAGUGGCGAACGGGUGAGUAACACGUGGGUGAUCUGCCCUGCACUUCGGGAUAAGCCUGGGAAACUGGGUCUCAUACCGGAUAGGAGCCAUUUUUAGUGUGAUGGUUGGAACGUUUUUUCGGUGUAGGAUGAGCUCGCGGCCUAUCAGCUUGUUGGUGGGGUAAUGGCCUACCAAGGCGGCGACGGGUAGCCGGCCUGAGAGGGUGGACGGCCACAGUGGGACUGAGAUACAGCCCAGACUCCGACGGGAGGCAGCAGUAGGGGAUAGUGCACAAUGGGCGCAAGCCUGAGGCAGCGACGCCGCGUGGGGGAUGACGGCCUUCGGGUUGUAAACUCCUUUCGCUAGGGACGAAGCUUUUUGUGACGGUACCUAGAUAAGAAGCACCGGCUAACUACGUG
rnacentral:rRNA from 1 species